UGUAACUGUGUAAAUGAAAGCAGAUCUGUCUCCAGGAACAGACACCUACUUAACAUUAGCUUAAGGAAAGCAUAAGGAUAGGUUCUUACUUAAAAGGCAGAGAGGAGAUUUGGACAGGCAUUUGCCUGCAUCACAAGAUAAAGCAGCUAACCCAGUCCUGAUUCUUAAAUCGAGGUGAAACAAACAAAUUUAAAAUAUUUUUGAAAUCCCUGUGAUGGUGAUGCUUUUCUCAGAAGACCAGAAUGAAUGUGCCUGAAGGAAAAACUCAUAGCUGCAUGCAGUGUAAGUCCAGGAGCUUUGAGCUGCUGCUGUUCUGAUCUUGCACCAAAUAGUUUGGAGAAGAAAGCACACCUCAUUCUCAGCCAGGUGUGGAAGUCUCUUACUGAGAACUUCUAUUCACUUGUGUAAUGGGCAUUUCUUAUAGAGGGGAAAAGGUAUGGUUUGACAUAUUCUAAAAGAUAUUAGAGGAAAGGUCGGUUUCUGGGACCGUCAGAAUAACCUUGGGACCAAAUGAUGUUAAUGAAGACAGAGGUUGAGGGAAGUUCAAAAGCUACACAAAUGCUCUGUCUGAAAUAAAAAUAAAAAUGAAAAUGAAAUUCAAAGGCAAGGCUGCCAUUCCCAAGGGAAUUUCUGAUUCCUUUGAUUACAUUAAUAGAGUUUUUCAAAGCAGAUGGACUGCAAAUGUAAUCCUGAAGACAAAUCUCACAAAGCACAAAGCAUGUUAAAGUAGGUAGACAGUAUCAGAGAUGGUCAUCUUCACCUGUAGGCACCUGAUUGCAGCUGCCUACCAUCUCUCUGCAAUCUCUGAAGAACGAAUUUUACAGGUACGAUUACUGUGAAUGUCGUUUCAUCAUGCAGGUUUCUUCAUAUAUAAGCUGGACUUACAACUUGCAAGGGAAACAUAUAGUGCGAAACAUAUGCAGGAUUCAUGAGUAAAUACUGACAGAAUUUAAGAGUAGCUGCAUGAAUCUAUAAGUGAUAGGCUUUGAGAUUAGCAAAACUUGCUGGAAAC